rnacentral:lncRNA from 1 species
AACUUUGGACAAAUGCUGCAAAACUCAGAAGCAGCAGGUCAUCAGAAAGGAAUAAUCAAGACAAGUGUAAAACAUUUCACGCCAGAGUAACACUGCUUAAAAUGGUGCUCCAUUCUUUUUGCUGAAGUACAGUGAAGGUAAAACAGUGAAUCACUGAAGGCCAGGACAAGUGAAUUGCAACUUUGGAUUCUGAACAGCCUAAUCUUAAUGUCAUUCAUCGAUCAUGUGUUUUGACUUGACAUGGAAAAACAAGCCUGAUGAUCUCCAAGCUGAAGGUAUGGUGGGCCACUAUACUGCCUUGGCUGACAUUCCUCUUAUUCUGAAUCCUUUUGUGGCUUUUGAAAAUCCAGAAUAA